AUUUUUUUCAUUUAAUUUAAUUUAUUAAUGUUAAUUAUUUUCUAUUUAGUUAUCAAACUUUCAUGACACGGAACUCGGGUUUGACGGGUUAACCCAGUUAAUUUAGAUUUUUUUUCUUUUUCUUGAUUAGUUUUUUUCCUUCCUAUUGGUUUUUUUUAAUUAAUUUAUUUAAUUAUCACACUUUUGUGACACGACCUUGCAGUCAGACUCACAUUCAAGACUAUUGAAUCUGGUAUUGCAGUUAGACCCACUUAAACUUAGGUAGUGCAAGUUUAAUGUUAUUAUUAAUAAUAUAAAUAUUAUUCUUGGAUCAAACGUUGCAGCCAAACCCAAGACUCUUGGAUAUAACUUUGCAGAAAGAUCUAAUAUUUUUAGAUCUUAGUUUUUUUUGAUAUUUUUUAAGCAAAAAA